rnacentral:lncRNA from 1 species
AGCCUGGGGACGCGGGCCGGACUCCGCCACCUGUCGGCCCGUCGGGGCGCCCACUCCCACGUCCCGGGCACCCGCAGACACCCCUCACCCCCGGGCGACGCGCGGAGCCUCUACGGCUCGCGGAGGAGGCGGGGAUCCAGCCGCGCCGCCGAGGGGGACGGGCGCGCAAGUCCAGGGCGGGCGUCCCGGGAGCCCCUCACCUCCGAGGAGUUUCGGGGAGCGAAGCGCGGGACCGGGUGGGGGUGCCCAGUGCCUUUCCUUCUCCUGUUCUCCCUUGAAAAUGCCUACUUAUACUUUAAGAAUCAUCUCAAAUGUUGCCUCCUUGGGAAACUUUCUUUGAAGCUCUGUGCCUACUCUUAAAGACUGGUCUCACUAUGUAAUUCAGACUGGACUUGAACUCACUAUGUAGCCCAGGCUGGCCUCGAACUCACGCUGAUCCUCCUGCCUCAGACUCCUGAGUGCUGAGAUUAUAGGGAUCAAACUCAGGACCUCGGGCUUGUGAGGCAGGUGCGGUGCCACUGAGCUAAAUCCCCAGCCCAACAGUGGAUUUCUCUUGUUAGAAAUCAUGGGAGGCAGAGGAAUUGGUACAACAAAAGAACCACCAACUCAGAAUCCAGCACAAAUAUCUUGCAGGAAUGAAGGGACAGUAAAGGCAUGCUCAGAUGAAUAACAGCAAAAGAAUUUGUUGCCAU